rnacentral:lncRNA from 1 species
GGGCCCAAGGGCUGGUGUUCGCCAGCCGCACCUCCUCGGGCCUCAGUGUGAGCAUGAGAAGGAAAAAAAUCGGCCCUGAAACAAAGCGAAAUAAACCGCGGAGCUUUCUCACUAGGGAGGUAGAAGGGGAAAUGUACUGGAUGGAGAGCGUGCUGAUCGCGCUCGGACCGAAGCGGAGCCUACAGCGCCGCGCUCAGCGCCCGAAAGUUUACGUCCGUGCUGUAGGAAAAGAUGUUCUGUAGAAAUAAUAGGUGCAGCUCAAACCCAGUUAAAACAAUCAUCUGUCCCGGGGAAAUUCAGAAAUUAGGUUAAAAAAAUAUCACAUCAAUUUGUGAUUAUUUCAUUGCUCAACACUGAAGUCAAUGUAUGGGAAUUCUUGAGAAAGAGUGCCGUGUAGAGUAUGUGGCUUGACUCGACCAUGGCAAAGGGUAAGAGGAAAGAGAAUUUUCCGUGUAUAAAACUGGAGAUAUUUGCUUUGGAAAGGCAGGACUCUGGCCCUAACACCAGCUCUUCCCUGAACUCUACCCUGGCCACUACUCCCGCUCCCGUCCCCUCCGGUGGUGGCUUUGCGCGUCGUGGAGCCCAGUUGGGCCCCCAGCUCGGGUUGCUGUCAGAAGGCCCCUCACGGCAGCGCUCCCCGACGGGGAAGGGUUCGUGGGGUGUCUGGAGGAACAGCGUGUGCGUGGAACGGGAGCGCACGACCCCAGCCCUGCGGAACACGAAUGGCUAUGCAGAGGGGACCCGGCGAUCCUCACAGGAGGCUGCUCCCUCACCUGCGUGCCCGUCUGCGUGGGGACCCGCCGCUCUAAGCGGCGGGGAUGGGCGGAGAGCGCCCAGCUCCGAGGUCACGGUGGGGGUGAGUAGCUGGGCUGAAAUGUCUUGGAUGAAGUGGCAUUCUACAGCGAUCUCCAUGUAGUUCUGGGUAUAACUCGUAGAGAUAGAAUUUCUACUGCACACUUUUAUCCCUCGUAGUUUUUUUAAUUUAUUAUUUCAAAUUAAAAGCCAACGGAAAAUCAGACUCUCUCCACUGUAAGUUCAAUGGACACAGCGUACCCUCCGUUUCCCCCCAGCUCCAGCCUUCAGUUCCCCUUAACACGGGUGUAGCAGCUCUGUACUCUCAGGCUCUUUCAAGAGAUUAAACUGCUAAAA